rnacentral:rRNA from 1 species
CUACGGGGUGCACCAGUGAGGAAUAUUGCACAAUGGGGGGAACCCUGAUGCAGCAACGCCGCGUGGAGGAUGACGCAUUUCGGUGUGUAAACUCCUUUUAUAUGUCAAGAAAAUGACGGUAGCAUAUGAAUAAGCACCGGCUAACUCCGUGCCAGCAGCCGCGGUAAUACGGAGGGUGCAAGCGUUACUCGGAAUCACUGGGCGUAAAGGACGCGCAGGCGGGUUGGAAAGUCAGGUGUGAAAUCCUACAGCUUAACUGUAGAACUGCACUUGAAACUUCUAAUCUAGAGUAUGGGAGGGGGAGAUGGAAUUAGUGGUGUAGGGGUAAAAUCCGUAGAUAUCACUAGGAAUACCUAAAGCGAAGGCGAUCUCCUGGAACAUUACUGACGCUAAGGCGUGAAAGCGUGGGGAGCAAACAGGAUUAGAUACCCCGGUAGUC